rnacentral:tRNA from 1 species
ACCGCAAUAGCUCAGCUGGUACAGCAUCUGCCCAUUAUGCGGAGGGUCGCCGGUUCGGUUCCGGCUCGCGGCG